rnacentral:rRNA from 1 species
AGGACGAACGCUGGCGGCGUGCUUAACACAUGCAAGUCGAGCGGAAAGGCCCUUCGGGGUACUCGAGCGGCGAACGGGUGAGUAACACGUGAGUAAUCUGCCCCUAGCUCUGGGAUAGCUCCGGGAAACCGGGAUUAAUACCAGAUACGACCACUUUAGACAUCUGCUGUGGUGGAAAGAAUUUCGGCUAGGGAUGAGCUCGCGGCCUAUCAGCUUGUUGGUGAGGUAACGGCUCACCAAGGCGACGACGGGUAGCCGGCCUGAGAGGGCGACCGGCCACACUGGGACUGAGACACGGCCCAGACUCCUACGGGAGGCAGCAGUGGGGAAUAUUGCGCAAUGGGCGAAAGCCUGACGCAGCGACGCCGCGUGGGGGAUGGAAGGCCUUCGGGUUGUAAACCCCGUUUCAGCAGGGACGAAGCGAAAGUGACGGUACCUGCAGAAGAAGCGCCGGCUAACUACGUGCCAGCAGCCGC